rnacentral:miRNA from 1 species
AACUCGUGUUCAAAGCCUUUAG